GGCUCAGGACGAACGCUGGCGGCGUGCCUAAUACAUGCAAGUCGAACGGUCUUUCUAUGGAAGCUUGCUUCCACUGAGAAGAUAGUGGCGAACGGGUGAGUAACACGUGGGUAACCUGCCCAUAAGAGGGGGAUAACAUCCGGAAACGGGUGCUAAUACCGCAUAGUUUUCUUGAUCGCAUGAUCGGGAAAGGAAAGACGGCCUUUGUGCUGUCGCUUAUGGAUGGACCCGCGGCGUAUUAGUUAGUUGGUGAGGUAACGGCUCACCAAGACGAUGAUACGUAGCCGACCUGAGAGGGUGAUCGGCCACAUUGGGACUGAGACACGGCCCAAACUCCUACGGGAGGCAGCAGUAGGGAAUCUUCCGCAAUGGACGAAAGUCUGACGGAGCAACGCCGCGUGAGUGAAGAAAAGGUUUUCGGAUCGUAAAACUCUGUUGUCAGAGAAGAACAAGUUGGAGAGUAACUGCUCCAGCCUUGACGGUAUCUGACCAGAAAGCCACGGCUAACUACGUGCCAGCCGCCGC
rnacentral:rRNA from 1 species